rnacentral:rRNA from 1 species
UGCAGUCGAGCGAAUUGUUGAGUUUACUCAACAAUUAGCGGCGGACGGGUGAGUAACACGUGGGCAACCUGCCUAUAAGACUGGGAUAACUUCGGGAAACCGGAGCUAAUACCGGAUAUGUUCUUUUCUCGCAUGAGAGAAGAUGGAAAGACGGUUUCGGCUGUCACUUAUAGAUGGGCCCGCGGCGCAUUAGCUAGUUGGUGAGGUAAUGGCUCACCAAGGCAACGAUGCGUAGCCGACCUGAGAGGGUGAUCGGCCACACUGGGACUGAGACACGGCCCAGACUCCUACGGGAGGCAGCAGUAGGGAAUCUUCCGCAAUGGACGAAAGUCUGACGGAGCAACGCCGCGUGAACGAUGAAGGCUUUCGGGUCGUAAAGUUCUGUUGUUAGGGAAGAACAAGUACCAGAGUAACUGCUGGUACCUUGACGGUACCUAACCAGAAAGCCACGGCUAACUACGUGCCAGCAGCCGCGGUAAUACGUAGGUGGCAAGCGUUAUCCGGAAUUAUUGGGCGUAAAGCGCGCGCAGGUGGUUCCUUAAGUCUGAUGUGAAAGCCCCCGGCUCAACCGGGGAGGGUCAUUGGAAACUGGGGAACUUGAGUGUAGAAGAGGAAAGUGGAAUUCCACGUGUAGCGGUGAAAUGCGUAGAGAUGUGGAGGAACACCAGUGGCGAAGGCGACUUUCUGGUCUAUAACUGACACUGAGGCGCGAAAGCGUGGGGAGCAAACA